rnacentral:rRNA from 1 species
UACGGGGGGAGCAAGCGUUGUUCGGAUUUACUGGGCGUAAAGGGCGCGUAGGCGGUCGUGACAAGUCACUUGUGAAAUCUCCGGGCUCAACUCCGAAAUUGCACCGGAUACUGCGUGACUCGAGGACUGUAGAGGAGAUCGGAAUUCACGGUGUAGCAGUGAAAUGCGUAGAUAUCGUGAGGAAGACCAGUUGCGAAGGCGGAUCUCUGGGCAGUUCCUGACACUGAGGCACGAAGGCCAGGGGAGCAAACGGG